rnacentral:tmRNA from 1 species
GGGGGUGUAAUGGUUUCGACAGGGAUGUGGAAGCCGGAUAAGCGAGCCGUAGACUGUACUAGCUACGUAAAAAUGUACACGUUAAAUACAAACGCUAAAAAUAACAAUAAUUUCGCACUAGCUGCCUAAUUUGCAG